rnacentral:rRNA from 1 species
GCGGCGUGCCUAAUACAUGCAAGUCGAACGAGUUCUGAUUAUUGAAAGGUGCUUGCAUCUUGAUUUAAUUUUGAACGAGUGGCGGACGGGUGAGUAACACGUGGGUAACCUGCCCUUAAGUGGGGGAUAACAUUUGGAAACAGAUGCUAAUACCGCAUAAAUCCAAAAACCGCAUGGUUCUUGGCUGAAAGAUGGCGUAAGCUAUCGCUUUUGGAUGGGCCCGCGGCGUAUUAGCUAGUUGGUGAGGUAACGGCUCACCAAGGCAAUGAUACGUAGCCGAACUGAGAGGUUGAUCGGCCACAUUGAGACUGAGACACGGCCCAAACUCCUACGGGAGGCAGCAGUAGGGAAUCUUCCACAAUGGACGCAAGUCUGAUGGAGCAACGCCGCGUGAGUGAAGAAGGCUUUCGGGUCGUAAAACUCUGUUGUUGGAGAAGAAUGGUCGGCAGAGUAACUGUUGUCGGCGUGACGGUAUCCAACCAGAAAGCCACGGCUAACUACGUGCCAGCAGCCGCGGUAAUACGUAGGUGGCAAGCGUUAUCCGGAUUUAUUGGGCGUAAAGCGAGCGCAGGCGGUUUUUUAAGUCUGAUGUGAAAGCCCUCGGCUUAACCGAGGAAGUGCAUCGGAAACUGGGAAACUUGAGUGCAGAAGAGGACAGUGGAACUCCAUGUGUAGCGGUGAAAUGCGUAGAUAUAUGGAAGAACACCAGUGGCGAAGGCGGCUGUCUGGUCUGUAACUGACGCUGAGGCUCGAGAGCAUGGGUAGCGAACAGGAUUAGAUACCCUGGUAGUCCAUGCCGUAAACGAUGAAUGCUAGGUGUUGGAGGGUUUCCGCCCUUCAGUGCCGCAGCUAACGCAUUAAGCAUUCCGCCUGGGGAGUACGACCGCAAGGUUGAAACUCAAAGGAAUUGACGGGGGCCCGCACAAGCGGUGGAGCAUGUGGUUUAAUUCGAAGCAACGCGAAGAACCUUACCAGGUCUUGACAUCUUUUGAUCACCUGAGAGAUCAGGUUUCCCCUUCGGGGGCAAAAUGACAGGUGGUGCAUGGUUGUCGUCAGCUCGUGUCGUGGGAUGUUGGGUUAAGUCCCGCAACGAGCGCAACCCUUAUGACUAGUUGCCAGCAUUUAGUUGGGCACUCUAGUAAGACUGCCGGUGACAAACCGGAGGAAGGUGGGGAUGACGUCAAAUCAUCAUGCCCCUUAUGACCUGGGCUACACACGUGCUACAAUGGAUGGUACAACGAGUUGCGAGACCGCGAGGUCAAGCUAAUCUCUUAAAGCCAUUCUCAGUUCGGACUGUAGGCUGCAACUCGCCUACACGAAGUCGGAAUCGCUAGUAAUCGCGGAUCAGCACGCCGCGGUGAAUACGUUCCCGGGCCUUGUACACACCGCCCGUCACACCAUGAGAGUUUGUAACACCCGAAGCCGGUGGCGUAACCCUUUUAGGGAGCGAGCCGUCUAAGGUGGGACAAAUGAUUAGGGUG